AUUGAACGCUGGCGGCAUGCCUUACACAUGCAAGUCGAACGGUAGCACGGGUGCUUGCACCUGGUGGCGAGUGGCGAACGGGUGAGUAAUACAUCGGAACGUACCUUAUCGUGGGGGAUAACGCAGCGAAAGCUGUGCUAAUACCGCAUACGCCCUGAGGGGGAAAGCGGGGGAUCGAAAGACCCCGCGCGAUUAGAGCGGCCGAUGCCUGAUUAGCUUGUUGGUGGGGUAAAAGCCCACCAAGGCGACGAUCAGUAGCUGGUCUGAGAGGACGAUCAGCCACACUGGGACUGAGACACGGCCCAGACUCCUACGGGAGGCAGCAGUGGGGAAUUUUGGAGAAUGGGGGCAACCCUGAUCCAGCAAUGCCGCGUGAGUGAAGAAGGCCUUCGGGUUGUAAAGCUCUUUUGUCAGGGAAGUAACACCGGCUCUAACACAGUCCGGGAAUGACGGUACCUGAAGAAUAAGCACCGGCUAACUACGUGCCAGCCGCCGCGGUAA
rnacentral:rRNA from 1 species